UGGAAAUAUCUCUACUUUCAGAAUAUAGCCUGUUCAUGAUUGAAGACAAUGGGCAUCAAAUCUUCGCGGUAUUCAGAUCCUAAUGAGCACUUUUGAAAGAAUGAUGUGGCAGUUACAUGUUAUAAGCCGUGGGGCACAACCUGAAGACCUUCACACUCAACUUCGCCAUUUCCAAUCUCCAGUAUUCAACAGACAUGAGCAAGGUCUCAGUCGCAUUCAACUCCAGCGAGAAUGUCCAGUAGCACCUGAAGAGACUGGUCCCAACAGCUCCUGGUGGAAUGAGUCCCAGCCAGCUGCUCCCCACCCCCUGUUCCUCCUGCUUGUCCUCCUUCUCCUUCCUCCCCAGCUUGGAUCCUUGUUCAAGAAGAGCAGCCUGGGCCCCUUCUGCUUGGGUUGCAGACUGAUCUCCCUCAGAGGAUUCAGGACGUCUCUCUAGAGUUACACAUCCAUCUCUCCCUGGGCCUGAGAAAGAUGGGGCAGCCACCAGUGUGGAUGCUGUCUGUACCUACCACCCUGACCCUGUGGCUCAUGGCAGAGAGUGUGACAGAGAUCCCAUGUGACAGAGAGCAGCAAUACUGGGACCUGAACCAGCUGAUGCACCGUGUCACCCAGAGGGGCCUCUACUCCCUGGUCAGGGACAGCCUCUUUGUCAGUGGGUACUCUGCCAACAGAAAUGGUGCCUUGACUGAGAAUUCUGGUAAGCCUCAAGGAAGCCCCAGCCUGCACUCGGGAGGGAAUAUCUCGAUGCUCUGCCCCAUCAAAGAUAACCACGCACACAGGGUCUUAGGUGAUGAUGAAAACUGGCCAACCCAUGUCAAGGUGUGUUGAGCACAGUGGGGGGACAGCAGGAA